rnacentral:rRNA from 1 species
GACGAACGCUGGCGGCGUGCUUAACACAUGCAAGUCGAACGGAAAGGCCCUGCUUUUGUGGGGUGCUCGAGUGGCGAACGGGUGAGUAACACGUGAGUAACCUGCCCUUGACUUUGGGAUAACUUCAGGAAACUGGGGCUAAUACCGGAUAGGAGCUCCUGCUGCAUGGUGGGGGUUGGAAAGUUUCGGCGGUUGGGGAUGGACUCGCGGCUUAUCAGCUUGUUGGUGGGGUAGUGGCUUACCAAGGCUUUGACGGGUAGCCGGCCUGAGAGGGUGACCGGCCACAUUGGGAAUGAGAUACGGCCCAGAAUCCUACGGGAGGCAGCAGUGGGGAAUAUUGCACAAUGGGCGGAAGCCUGAUGCAGCAACGCCGCGUGCGGGAUGACGGCCUUCGGGUUGUAAACCGCUUUCGCCUGUGACGAAGCGUGAGUGACGGUAAUGGGUAAAGAAGCACCGGCUAACUACGUG